AACGCGAAGAACCUUACCAAAUCUUGACAUCCCGAUGACAGACUGUGUAAAGCAGUUUCUCUUCGGAGCAUCGGUGACAGGUGGUGCAUGGUUGUCGUCAGCUCGUGUCGUGAGAUGUUGGGUUAAGUCCCGCAACGAGCGCAACCCCUGUUUCUAGUUGCCAUCAUUAAGUUGGGCACUCUGGCGAGACUGCCGGUGAUAAAUCGGAGGAAGGUGGGGACGAGGUCAAAUCAUCAUGCCCCUUAUGUCCAGGGCUACACACGUACUACAAUGGCCGAUAACAAAGUGCAGCGAAACCGUGAGGUGGAGCGAAUCACAAAACUCGGUCCCAGUUCAGAUUGCAGGCUGCAACUCGCCUGCAUGAAGGUGGAAUUGCUAGUAAUCGCGAAUCAGAAUGUCGCGGUGAAUACGUUCCCGGGUCUUGUACACACGC
rnacentral:rRNA from 1 species